CUGGGGGCGUCGCGUGGCUCAGCGGUAGAGCAGGCGCACCAUAUGCAGAGGCUAGGGUCCUCCAUGCAACUGUCCCGAGUUCAAUUCCCAGCCCCUAGA